UGAAAUUACUUUGGGUUGUGAAGGCA
rnacentral:piRNA from 1 species